rnacentral:lncRNA from 1 species
UAUGGAGUAAGGCAAGUGCGUGGCGAGGAGCCUCGGCGGAGGGAUCGCCUCCAGGUCGGAGAUUUGAUCGCGAAAGAGGAUCUCUAAGAAGGGUACACACUCGUGGGGGUUGCGGGUGAGCAGAGGGUGUUGAGCGAAGGUGUACUUGGUGCGGUUCAUGAUAGCGAACAGGAGUGCUUUAAGCCAGGUGGUGCCGGAUUUGGGCGGGGUGACGAGGAUGAGGUCGGAGGGACGAGGCUUGAAAUGAUCUUGGAGGGCCAUCACGCGUGGAAGCGAACUUUCAGGGACCCAAAACCCUUUGUACAUUCCGAGCGGACGUAGAAAUCCUCUUUGCUUUGGUAAAGAGGAUAGGCGAUCGCUGUGCUCCUUGGUGGAGACUUCGCCUCUCUCCUCUUGAGGAUUCUCUUGAGGAUUGGAAGGAAGAGAAAAAUCCAUUGGACUCAAACUUGAUAAUCCUUGCAGUCUAAGAAAGCCUUUAUAUAAGAAGCUGGUUGCUACCUAAUUACAUUGGAAAAAAAAAUAUAGCUAAUAAGUGGAUGUUCGUGUAUCCACUAUUUUGUGAAAGAUAGGUAAUCAUUUAAUCGUGGUAAUAAUAUGUUUUGUGAACAGAAUUUUUACCAUUCCGUUCUCUGAAGAUGUAAUUUUUUUUCGAAUAAUGAAAAACUUAGUGUUAGAAGCUUCAAAACAACCACAAUCUUCAUAAAAGUUAAUUAUUUUGAUGAAUAUUUUUUUAAAAAAAAUAACUCUUGAUGGCAUCACAACUAUUAAGUUAUCAAUAGAUUAGCUCGCACCUUUAAUUUUAAAAAAACUAUUUUUAUUUACUAAUUAAAAAAUUGCAUUAUUGUACCAUACAAAGUUAUAGUUCUUCUAAAAAAAUAAAUAUUUGAAAUGCACAAUGACGAAAAGUGAUGAAAGAGUUGUUCGUGAGGAGGUUGGAUAGCGUGGUCAUGACUAUACAUAAUUGUCAAAAAAUAUAUUUCAAUUCGAAUCAAAUCCAUUUUUUGUUUAUUUUUCAUCAAUUAGUUGAAUCUCAUAGUGCCUUUCAUUCUGAUGGAUCUCAUCAAAAGAGAGAGAGAGAGAGAGAUGAGGGGAGGUAGAUCGCGAGACUCACUCUGGUGUCCAACUUAUCAUAUUUUAACCAUAUCUUUUUGUCUUUUUUUUUAACCACAAAGUACAAUUAUGGAUACUUCACGUUGCCAAGUACUUGUCAAGGUUGAUAUUCAUUCAUGAAAGAAGCCAAGAACAUCAACAUUUUCAAAAGUGUGGCAUCUAUCAUGACCAACCUGGAGAUUGCGGACAUGUCGUUACUACUAGGCCAGGCUGAAAUCAACAUUUGGUUGCACCUUAUCCCUAAUUUUCUGCUGAAAUUGGUUGAGUACUUAUCCAAUUCCCAAGUGGAGCAGGGAUUAAAGCCAUCUAGGCCUAUCCAGCUUGGCUUAUUUAGUAAAGUAGAUAUCUGAGAAUUUUUCCGAAUCCUAUAGUCCCACUAAACAGUAUGACCCGACAGGUUGACAGAUGGUAUUCAGAUAUUAGGCAGAGCCAAGAUCUUAAAACUUUGGAUAUGGACUUCGGGCCUAAACUUUAUUUAUUUGUAAUCAAACUUUGGGCCAGGUCUAUAUAUAAAAUUUGAAAUUUUCUGUAACCAAACUUGGCCCACGAUUAGCUUUAGUCUGGAGUAACCUUUCCGAGAGUUAACUUCCAUAGCUUGGUCAGCCAUGAGGUGGCGGGAGCCACAUACAUUAUUAGGGAUUCUUAUGGGUCCUUAAUAUAUGCAGGGGGGAGCUAUAUAUAUAUAUAUAUAUAUAUAUAUUCUUCCUAUAGAAUUUGGGCUGAAGAAAAAUUGAUUUGAUAUUGGUCUUACUUAAAUAGACUACAUAAUCUAUAAUUCUACAAAAAUUUCGGUCCAAUUCAACUAGAUUUUUCAAACAAAUUCUUAGUAUACCAUGAUUACCUGGCGAGAGCGCAACUUACUAUGACUUAUGGGAUUGGUCUUGUAAUUGUGGGGGGCUACGCCAGGGAAGCAUCAAGUGUAAUUGGGCCAUUCCGGUAGAACCUUGUCAACUCGAUCUGAAGUAUGUUCCAUUACGGUAUGGCAAAUAUUGCAUCCCUCGUGAAAGAUUUUAAAAUUCAACUCUCUUGGAAAUCUUAAGAUAUUACCAAGAAAAGGAUAAGGAUAAGGGUUGCCAAGAAAGUUGAAUUUUAUCUAAAAUUAAGAUAAAGAGUAACGAAAUAAAAAAUAAAACAAAGGCAAGAAAAUUGAUGAUGGUUCUACUUUACAUCCGUUCCAAGCAUAGCUCAAACUAGUUACCCACCAGACAGAUUUCCAAUCAUACUGCACCAAUGAAUGGCACAACCUCCUGUACGUCCGUCACUCAUGCCUACCCCCAACAAAUCAUUGCAACCAUUCACCACAUCAGUUUGAGAACUAGCUAGUUUAAUAACUUAUUUUAAGAUUCAUAUUUAAAUAUUAAUCUCAAACUAGACGAUCCUUGCUGCAUGAAAAGGCAUCUUGAAUAAGUAAGAAGAUGGCUGCACACGUACAGAAGGGAAGCACAGCUUGCUUUAGAUGGGAUACAUGAAACAGAGAUAAAUAUUGAGCUGCCACCCCAUCAUCAGCGGGCUGGAGAAUUUUUUUGCAUGCAUGCAUAGUGGGCACAGCUAAGCGUCUCUGAGAAUUCACGAUGCUCGGAAGCUCAGACCGGAUCCAGCCAGCUUCUCUUGGACAAUUCGGUCCAACUUCUCCCCCAUUUCACGACUCAAAUGAUUUGUCCAAUCUCCAACCUGGCCUUUUCUGAAAAACGACUCAUGCGGCAGAGUUAUCUCCCCUGCUUCGUAUAUGCCUUUUUUAUUCACCUCCGAACUGCUGAGCUUCUCAAAACGGCACAGUUGUACAAUCUCCUCCGCCACCCCAUCCUUCUCCUCCUCCUCCGAGAAGGGACGCCCCACGAAUUCCGCAAGCCUUCUCACGUUCCCCACCGGCUCGGCCAUCAUCUCCUCGUACUUCAAGAACAGCACCUUCUCGGACCUCCUCAGGCUCUCCCUCCAGUACUCGAGGAUAUGAUCCCAGAUCGGCCCGGACAACGAGACCCCCUCGCAAAACGACUCGAAGGCUUCGCUCAGACGCAUGUCGGGCCUGUCCUUACGCGCGAAGUGCCACAGCGAGACCACCACAUCCUUGGGGUCUCGACAUAGAUAAACUAGCCGGCAACCGCAGUCAGCCACAGAGGACGCCAAUAUGGAGUAAGGCAAGUGCGUGGCGAGGAGCCUCGGCGGAGGGAUCGCCUCCAGAUCGGAGAAUCGAUUGCGAAAGGGGAUCUCUAAGAAGGGCACACACUCAUGGGGGUUGCGGGUGAGGAGAGGGUGUUGAGCAAAGGUGUAGUUGGUGCGGUUCAUGAUAGCGAACAAGAGGGCUUUAAGCCAGGUGGUGCCGGAUUUGGGCUGGGUGACGAGGAUGAGGUCGGAGGGACGAGGCUUGAAGUGAUCUUGGAGGGCCAACACGCGGGGAAGCAAACUUUCAGUGACCCAAAACCCUUUGUACAUUCUGAUGGGACGUAGA